rnacentral:lncRNA from 1 species
AGAGGAAAAUAGAAAAAGAAAAAAAGAACUAACAGGUCGUUAUUCCGUCUUUUCUCCUUUGGUACCUGAAGGCGCAUCGUAUUAUUUUACGUGUACUUGAUUUUAGCGUCGAAAAUAUGCUCAGCUUCGAUUUUAAUUAUUUAUUUAUAAUAGAACGUAAAUAUAAAAAAGAAAAAAAAAGAAAAGGAAAAGAAAGAAAGAAAUUCACAAUAAUAAUCUCCGAACAUCUUAAUAUGAGACUUCAUCUCUUCACAACGGGAUAUAUGUAUAUAUAUUUCUCUUUUUUCCCGAAACAAAUAAAUACUUCUUGAAUAAAUGAAUAAAGAAUUGAAAAAAGAAUCAGCACAGUUACAUAGCCG